rnacentral:misc_RNA from 1 species
AAGUCGUAACAAGGUAACCGUAGGUGAACCUGCGGUUGGAUCAUUAUCAAAUGUGAAGUCUGUUCUCUCAGCUUGCUGAGAUUGAGCGGACUACCAACCCUUUGUGAACUGUAAUUGUAUCUGGGUAAUGUUCUCAUUUGAGAGCGUUACCCGCCUAUAUUCAUAAACCCCUAUUUUUGUAAACUUAAAAAGAAAGUAAAGAGUAACAACUUUUGACAAUGGAUCUCUUGGCUCUC